rnacentral:lncRNA from 1 species
CUGAUGGAAGUAGAAGGGAGGGAAAGGGUUUAAAACAAACCAUCUGUAAACCAUCUAUAUCAUGAGAAUAAGGAGAGUAUAAAAGAGGAUGCUUAAAAAUAAAAAACAGAUUUGAAGUUAUCUAAAUUUCUAUCCCACCAGUAUAGACUAUUCCUUUGGGACAAAACAUAUCAACGUAUAACCUAAUAUUACCAAAACCAAAACCAGGUUUAAAUGAAAUUGGCUUAGAGUAUUUGUAAUCACAAAAUAAAUAAUAAACUCAAAACACUUGUGGUAAGAUUACAGUCACAAAAAUAAGCAGAACUAACAAGCUAAUAAGUAAUAAGAGGACUUGAAUUGAUGCAAUAAUAUGGGUAGACAAGAUGCAAUUAUAUUUCACACCAGUCAUUAAAAAAAGGUAGAAAAAAUAUCUAAUAUGAUCAGGAAAAGCUAAAUCCAAUGAGUACAACAACAAUCACUCCAUUUGCAUGACCUCAGGUGACAAAACACAACGAAAACAACAUAACUCAUACAAAUUAAAACAGAAACUGGGCCAGGAAGCACAUAGAAUAAAUCAACCCCUUUUCCCUGUUGAAGAACUGUUUGUAUCGUCUAGAUAAAGAAAGGCAACCAAACUCCAAGUCUAGUUUUAAAUGUCUAACCUCAAAAUAACAUCCUUAAUGCUAUGUGCAAAAGACAAUGUAGUUAAGCAUCAACCAGGUUAAUGUAGGGAUUUGCUACACUAAAUGAAGAACUAACCCACAAUAAUUGACACCUACUCUCUUGAUUGUAACAUCAGAUGUCAAUAAAAAGAACAACAAAGGCAUGUGCAUAAAUGUGCUGCCACAUCUUCCAUGCAUAAAUGGAUAGGUAAUAACAGGUGUGCACGCACAAUUCAAUAUUUUCAAACUAAAUGAAUAACCGGGUACUUGACGCAAAACCAAAAUAGUUUCUCGUCUACUAAAAUGAUUUCAGAAACAAUAUACAUAUAUUGAAGAGUUGCCUCACAAUAACAUUUGCCAGACUUAUUUUCUUCAAGCCGUACAAUCUAUUGUCAUUAAAUUAAAACAUCAACAAAAGCACAUGUAUAAAUGCAUAUAGCUACACGCGUUUGUAGUUCUUCUGUAUAUAAAUGGACAGGUAUAUUGGUUCACACUUCACACAAUCGUACAAUUAUGAAUCUAGCCCAAAAAUAUCAACACAAAUCAAUGAUAUUAAUGAUGAAUGACAAUUUAUGGCAGCAAGUCCAAAAUUCCUCAUCACAAUACAGUGGUUGGUGUUGUGGCUAUAGAAAAAUAAAUAAACACGCAUACUUACAUACAUAUAAGUAAGUAGGUAUGUAGAAACAUAAAAAAAAAAAAAAAAAAAAAAAAAAAAAAACUGAACAAAAAAACUACAAACAAUACAAUAAACAAAGUUCAUCAAUAGUAUGUGACAAAGUUUGGCCUUCACUUGUCAUUGCGUGCAGCCCUACACNCAAUUUAUGGCAGCAAGUCCAAAAUUCCUCAUCACAAUACAGUGGUUGGUGUUGUGGCUAUAGAAAAAUAAAUAAACACGCAUACUUACAUACAUUCCAGUCACUAGGUAUGUAGAAACAUAAAAAAAAA